rnacentral:misc_RNA from 1 species
AGCAAGUUUUGAUUGUGGCAUUGUUCGAGUCGUCCCGUGUGGGGUGAUGGUAAUGGUGUCGUGCUUCUUGUGGAACAUUGGCGUCCUGUUGUUGUGAUGGGGUUGGGGGCAUGCUGUUGGGGUUCUGGGGUAUCACACUGUGUGUGGUGGCCUGGUGCGGUGAUGCGUCAUCUGUCUGUUGUGGACGGUGGUGUGUUGAUUCGUGUGGUGGUUGAGAACUGUAUAGUGGAUGCGAGCAUCUUAAUUUUUUUUGUGUCUUGUGCGUUGUGCAAGUUGUUAAGUCG